AAUUGCAACACGACGCAGAAUAAAAGGACUUAAGGUGUAAAUAUCCCUCCCAGACCUAACACGCGGGUCUUAACCAGGCAUGGCUCGGGUCAUCGGGUGAAGGCCACCACACGGCGUCGUAUCUAGACCAUCAAAAUUGGUCAAAAUGGCGUCGUUCCCAGUCUUUUAUAUAGACUAAACUAGCCGAAAUCAACAUGCACCCAUUCUGUUGAUUUUUCAAAUCCCUAAUCCCCUUUUAACCCCAUCACUGAUCCACCACCAAGAACAGCGACCAGGGGUUUGGAGGCUCUGAUGAAUCGAUUUUCAGCCUGAAAAUCCCUUCUUGACUUCGAUUUGAACGAAGCAAAAGAGGAUUGGCGGCCUAUUCGCAAGGUACGGCGCGUGCUGGCAUGCGUUGGCUCUUGGCGUGGGGCGUACGGAGGCACGGACGUGGUCGCUGGAGGGUACGGAGGCUGGGGCUGCUGCGGCGCAAGCAGAAACUGCUAGGGUUCUGCCUGAUUUUUUUGUUUUUGGGCUGUGGGAUAUUUGGGUCUAGGUUUGGGCUUGUAAUAAGUUUGGGCUAGGGUAUUAGUUUGGGUAUUGGGUUAGUGAUUGGGUCAAAGUCUGUAAAAGGACAUUUAAUGGACUGUUAUAAUAUUUAUUGGGUUUUUAUUAUUUUUUGUGACUUAUUUUUGUAUUUUUGUUUUGUUUUUGUCUUUGUACGGGCCGGGCAAAUUUGGCCCACUACAAAGAGUAUAUAAAUAUAUAAAUAAGUUUGGUUAUUAGAGUAAUUAAGAGUUAGGUGGAGUAAUUAGUCUGUUUAGAAGUUGGUCUAUUUAGAAUUUGUUAGCAACAGUUGUUAUUCUUCUCUGUAUAAAGCAAGUUAUUCACAGUUUGAGAA